UACAAGAAAUCUGUUGUCGCGCUGUGUU
rnacentral:piRNA from 1 species